AGGGCCCUACACAGACCCGCACUGACCUGGAAAAGCUUCGGGAGCGGCGACGGGAAGGCAGCAGGAGGUGGUGCGGGGACCCGAGGCGCCUCGUACCCGGCCGGGCUGACGCGGCCCCGCUACACACAAAGCGCUUCAGCUGCACAGGGCGCUAUUUUCCGAAAAUGCCGCGUCUGGUCGGCGCCCAAAAUCCCCACCGAAAAGUCCCCCGUGCUGCGCGCGGAGGGACACAUGGUGUGCGAGUGAGUCAAGCUCCCAGCAUCCCUCCCGGACCCGGCCCUCUUCAGCUCAUCGCCCGAGGAUUUUCCGCCUCUGCCCUCGUCGGCAGAUCCUGCUCCUACCCACUCCCUAGCUGUGUUCCCGCGGGGAGAGAGGGGAAAGAGGGUCUGAUUUUUUAACGAAGGGAAAGAAAAUAUGCCAUUUCUAGCGCUUCAGCCACACAAAGAAAGCGGCGGAAUGAUCCGCUCUCGGCGACCGCAAGUCCCGGCUCGCCCGGCGCCUGCGCGGCAGCGGGGGUGGGAGCUGCGGACGGCCAUGUGCGCGGCGGAGAGGCCGGGUGGCCACCGAACCUUCCCGCCUGUUCUGCGGUGGGUAGGAGUUUGGAAACUAAUGUUCCUGUGCUAACCUUCGUGUCUCUGUGACAUGACUGUUGAAAGACGGAGAGUGCGGAAUCUUUGGAGUUUUAAGCUUGCCAACUGUGCGGCCUAGCAGAAUCCUGGGAGACGGAAGGACAGCCAAGAGGCUAGGAUUUACCUUUAAGUGUCCCUAGAUUCAACUAGGCAGACUGGGACGGGAGACGCUGUGAAGGUACCAGGGAAGGAACGAGUGAGGUUCCUUUUCCACUUUUUCAUAAACUCAACAGUCAGGUUCAUGACGAAGAUAUAGAUAUUUCUGUAGAUUUUUUCCCCAACAUUCUAAUUAUGCCUCAUGUUUCGUAGAUCCUAGUAACUGCUUGGAUUACUGCCACCUCAGAGGUAGAGAUCUGUUUUUCCGUGGCUGGAAUGCCAAAAAUUUUGUUGUAUUUUAUUAAGAAAGUAGCAAAAGUUUGGAGAUUUGCAAAGUUAAAAAAAAAAAAA
rnacentral:lncRNA from 1 species